UGUGAUGUAAUUUUUAAUUUAAAUAUGCCUACUGAUAUAACACGGUCACUUAUCGACAGUAAAUAUUAGAACAAAAAUUAUGGAAUGCCGAGCCGAGGUCGACUUGUAUGGGUAUUAGCACAUCGGCGUUCAACGUUCAAACAAUUGGACAUGCAUAGAAACACUUGGUAUAUUAUCUCCCGACGACAGAUCGACCUUCAGAUUUCACUCGAGUAAGACAACAGUGGGACAUUCCGUCACGUCGGUCGGGUGGUGACGCGUGGCUGAGAGAAAAGUGACCGAUUUCGCGAUGAUUCGUUUGACACAAUGCCGGUUCAUCGGCACUACCCAUCUACAGAGUAUAACGAGCCCCACGAGCCGUGCCCCGUGGACCCUACACAGGUGCGUAGCGCAGGCGCAGGUAUCGCGCCCCCCUCCCCCGCCCCGCACGCUAUCGGCCAUCUUGAAUUCCGCUCACUCGGCUCAGACCCGCGCUCGUCUCGCGGCCGCCGCACGUACCUGUCCAGCGAACCGUCGCUAAACUAAUAGUGUUGAAUGUGAUUCGGUGUCAUGGUGUGAUAGUGUGGUGCCGAAAUGGAAUCGACGCCGAUAUGUCGGUGCCGCGUGCUCUACCUCGGCUCCGCGGUGCCGCAACAGAGCAAGGACGGCCUACAGGGCAUCCAGGAACCUUUGCGCGAACUGUAUCCGGAAAAGGGUGCGACCAGUGGUGGCAUAGAUUCGUGGCUAUCGGUCUGGUCGAACGGUAUCUUGUUGGAGAACGUGGAUGAAAGUGGAUCGCGGGUGGCCAGGUUUUUCCCGAUUUCGAGUUUGCAUUAUUGCGCUGCGGUGCGCCGUGUGAUUGUCGAAGGUGGGCCGCGAUUUUUACCUCUCGAUUCGCCCUUCGCUCAGGCACCAGCGCCGCGACGCCCGCCCUUAUUCGCGGCGGUUUUGCGUCGGACCCAGGGCAUCAAAGUUCUAGAGUGUCACGCUUUUAUCUGCCGACGAGAAGCCGCUGCAAACGCACUAGUCCGAUGUUGUUUCCACGCUUACGCCGAUAGUUCUUAUGCGAAAAGAUUGGAGGCAGAGCGUUCGCCUUCUCAGCUACCUCCGGACCCCGAAGAGGAAUUGGAGGUGUACGACGGAGAUGAAAAUCAUAAAGUGUGGGUCGGUGAGACCGAACGUGACGACGUCAGCGACGACAUUCCGCACGCGACGCGGGCACCGAGACCUCGACAGAUCACGCGGCCAGCGUCGGUGCCGCCGCCCCCGCCUCCACCCGAGGAGCCCAAAAAGAAAUCUACAACAAAAAAGAAUAAGAAAAAAUCAUCGGCCUCCGCUGACGAACUUUACGCAGGUCCACCGCCUAUGAUGAACGGUAGGUCCCUGGGGCGAGCUCCUCCAUCAUGGGCGGCUGCACAUCCGAUGGUGCUAGUGGCUCACCCAGCAGCGACACUGCCACACGCUCGUCCGGCGACGCUGGGUCACAGAGGUCGUUUACCAGCUGCAUUAGCCGCAGGGCCGUAUCCUCCGAGCAUGCCUCCCGGGAGAGGUCGUAUACAAUACGCUACCGUUGAUCCUCGCCGAUCGAAACCACCUCCGCCUCCUGCUCUGAAAGCCGCUCAGAGCAUGACCGGCUUGGAGGCUGUCGAGGACGCCGGAGGUAUUUACAGGAAGAAAGGUCACCUGAAUGAACGCGCUUUUUCGUAUAGUAUUCGACAAGAGCACAGAAGCCGUUCGCAUGGAUCACUCGCCAACUUGAAAUUCGCAGCUCCACCUGAGGUGGAGUCAGGCCGUGAAGAACUGAAGAAGGAAAGAGAGAUCAUGCAGCUAGUGGCGGGUCUGCAGCUUGGCUCCGACGAGGUUGAGAGACGCGAGGUGCCGCCACAUUUACUGCGAGCUAAACACGCACCCAGAUAACACGAAGCCUGUUCACGUGAGCGUCAUCUAUUAGUCGGGCGCGUCACGGCGCGGCGUGAGCGUGCGUCCGACCGGAAACAACUCUCAAAUUUAUAAUUCCACAACGCGAACACGAGCACACAACUAGCUACCUUGUUACAAGGCAGUCAAAGUUCAUUUUAUGAGAUCUGGUUUGAGAAUCGAUACCUGAAAAGUUUUUGGGUGAUAGAGAUUUGUCACGAAUUCCCUAGUUGUAGUUCUAUCGUACGUAAUAAUAUACACAAGCACUUCGAUUACAUGUUAGUGAGGACAUAUCUGAAAAUAUACACUUACCAUAUAUUACAGUAUAAAUUAAUUUCUGAUAAAAAAAAAACUUUAUCACAUCUGUGCAAUUCAGUUCAUUCAGAAAAAGUUUACGGGGCAUAAACUUUUGUGUUUGUAUUAUGAAUAGUAUUUUGAUUUUGAGAUAGUGCUGCUACUAUAACUCCAUUAUAUUUGGCGUGAAAUAUUGAUUCUGAUUUGAAGGGUAGAACAGCAAUUAUCGUCUCAAGGUUGUAAGGUCAUUUCAUAAUGUUUAUGGCCAUAAAUAGCCUCUUACCACAAGAUGGACCUUGAGCUAAUCUUUAAUUUUUAUCUCACAAUCUAUGCAACUAAUUAUGUAUCGAUCUAAAUUCGUCACCACAAUUAAUUGACACAGUUACAGGCUAAUAGUUUUACGCUUAAAAUAUUAAAAGUCGAUUGGUAAAUUUUCCACUUCACUAUAUAAUCGGUUAUCUCGUACAAAGCAAUUAUCUACAGCUAUAUCGCAUGAGGAGUUUCGGCCUCGUUCGAUUUAAUUGUCGGACACAAAAUUUAAGAUUUUGCAAUAUUUUUCAGGAAAAUAUAUUUUCUGAUCGUUUUUCUUAAAAUUAUUCCUUUGACGUUUUUCAUGCCAAAUAUCAACUCAGAUCUUAUUAUUGAACAUCAAACACGUCAAAUAAACGAUGUUAAACAUUUCCAGUACUAAUGAUCCAAAACUUAUGUUUUUUAUUAGAAGUUAUGUUAUGUUUAUUAAAUUGAAAUAAAUCAUGGAAUUAUGCACUCGUUCCCGCAUGAUGCCAAAUGCGCGCCAUGUCACCGAAUUCGACCAAUAUCAUAGACCUACCAAUAUCAGCCAGUUCUGAAUUCUAUAUUUAAUGUCAAACGGCACUGUCAAAAUUUAAUAUUUAUGAUGAAUUCUUCGCGGGAAAUACGGAUUUAUCGGAUUCGGAUCACCAUUUUUGCAUCACGCUUUACUUUCUGACUUCCUGCAGACGAUACCUUAAUGGAUUCAAACCCACGCAAUAAACAGUAUUAAUUCACCAACGUACAAUAAUAUUAUGGCAACAAUAAAUCUGUCAAAUCAUUUUAGAAAUAUUAAUAGAAUUUAAUAAGAAAAUUUACAAAAUUUCUGACACAUUGUUAUCGAAACUCGUAAUGCGUUAGAAUUAAUAAUUAAUACGCAUGUUUUAAAAUUAAUUUCUUUUUGUUCUUGCACUAAAAUUCCAGUGCAAAAUGUAUAUUCGAAGCGUGUACCUCAAUCGUAAAAGAGCGUACAAAAUUAAAAACUUAGUCAGCUUAUAAACAAAUUUGAUUAAGUAGCUAACACAUAAACGAACUAUUUUUAAUAAAUAAACGCAAUUAAAAAAAAUGCAUUCGUUAUUUAUAACACUACUUUAACUUACUUAUAUCAAUGUUUUUUUUAAUAAAUAUAAAAUUAAAAUUAAUUAAAUUCCAAUAUUUUAUUAGUUCUUAAGUGUAUUAAAAAAUGGUAAGUCUUAUAGUGUAAUAUCAAAACGGGGUUCUUUUAAGACUUAUGUAAAUAAUAGGUCUAAGUUUUAGAGUAAUAUUUCCAUCAAAUAUUCUAGGCUAUGAGUGCCAUUAAAAUGUUAGAGUUCACAACUCAAUGUGUAUACUUCCACGCGUAUGUAGGUACGUGUAGUUUUUUAAGGUGUUUAUGUAUAAAAAUAAUUUUUAGUCAAUCAUUAAAGCAAGUUUAAAGUAUUGUAAUGAAAUUAAUGGUUUCUAAGCGAAGACAACGAUGUAUUCAAUUCUUUAAUAAUCAAAAUAAAAUGUUUUAUAUCGA